rnacentral:sRNA from 1 species
CGCUAGCCCCGAUGGAAGCGGCAUCCUUUUGUGUGGGAGUGAGGCGGCGGAGCGCAGCGGAGCCGACCGAGCGACCAACAAAAGAUAUAGCGAACAGCGGGACCAAAU